rnacentral:rRNA from 1 species
UACGAAGGGGGCUAGCGUUGUUCGGAAUUACUGGGCGUAAAGCGCACGUAGGCGGAUAUUUAAGUCAGGGGUGAAAUCCCAGAGCUCAACUCUGGAACUGCCUUUGAUACUGGGUAUCUUGAGUAUGGAAGAGGUAAGUGGAAUUGCGAGUGUAGAGGUGAAAUUCGUAGAUAUUCGCAGGAACGCCAGUGGCGAAGGCGGCUCACUGGCCCAUUACUGACGCUGAGGCACGAAAGCGUGGGGAGCAAACAGG